rnacentral:lncRNA from 1 species
UUUGCAUUGUGUCAUUAUAUGUGACCAAGUUACAAGGAAAAAUAAUAAACUUGUAAUACGAUAAUUAUUUUUAAAAAGUGUUCUCAGAUUGAGCAAUCAUGUGUGAAGAUCAAUGGAUUUCAAGGAACAUGAUCAAUGUUAUGGUAGCAUUCAUGGCAUAGUUUAUUAAAAUGACCUCAUAUUGUGCACAAUGGUGCAUCUUGGAAUGGAAAACAACGUUGUCUAAGGAAGUUUUCAUUUUCUUUUUUUCUACAUUUCGAAUGCCAAAAAUGAGUUUUUUUGUGAAAGACCUACGAUAUUUUUAUUUGCAAAAUUGGAUCAAAUUAUUUUUGUAAAAUAUUAUAUCAUAUUUAAUGUACAAUUGACAAAAUGGUUGGGAGUAAAAAUCAUUGAGACACCAAAUUGAACCAAAUCAUUUUACUAAAAUACUAUGCCAU